rnacentral:rRNA from 1 species
UUGAACGCUGGCGGCAUGCCUUACACCUGCAAGUCGAACGGCAGCGCGGACUUCGGUCUGGCGGCGAGUGGCGAACGGGUGAGUAAUACAUCGGAACGUACCCUGUUGUGGGGGAUAACUAGUCGAAAGAUUAGCUAAUACCGCAUACGACCUGAGGGUGAAAGUGGGGGACCGCAAGGCCUCACGCAGCAGGAGCGGCCGAUGUCUGAUUAGCUAGUUGGUGGGGUAAAGGCCCACCAAGGCGACGAUCAGUAGCUGGUCUGAGAGGACGAUCAGCCACACUGGGACUGAGACACGGCCCAGACUCCUACGGGAGGCAGCAGUGGGGAAUUUUGGACAAUGGGGGCAACCCUGAUCCAGCAAUGCCGCGUGUGUGAAGAAGGCCUUCGGGUUGUAAAGCACUUUUGUCCGGAAAGAAAUCGCGCUGGUUAAUACCUGGCGUGGAUGACGGUACCGGAAGAAUAAGCACCGGCUAACUACGUG